UAGGGAAUAUUGGACAAUGGGUGAGAGCCUGAUCCAGCCAUGCCGCGUGCAGGAAGAAGGCGUUAUGCGUUGUAAACUGCUUUUGCCAGGGGAUAAAAAGACCGUGCGCGGUUAAUUGAAGGUACCUGGUGAAUAAGCCACGGCUAACUACGUGCCAGCAGCUGCGGUAAUACGUAGGUGGCAAGCGUUGUCCGGAUUUAUUGGGUUUAAAGGGUGCGUAGGUGGCCCUGUAAGUCAGUGGUGAAAUAUCUCAGCUUAACUGAGAGGGUGCCAUUGAUACUGCAGGGCUUGAGUACAGAUGAGGUAGGCGGAAUUGACGGUGUAGCGGUGAAAUGCAUAGAUAUCGUCAAGAACACCGAUAGCGAAGGCAGCUUACCAAGCUGUAACUGACACUGAGGCACGAAAGUGUGGGGAUCAAACAGGAUUAGAUACCCCCGUAGUCCCUGAGCGGGCUGGCAAGGCGCAU
rnacentral:rRNA from 1 species